GUUUACUGUGUUAAAAUGUUACUACCGUUUUAAAGUCGGUUUCACAUAAAGUAGACUUUCAACAAAACUUUCACUAAAAAAAAGAAACUGGGAAAAGAUCAGCAUCGUGUUACAAUGAGUAUUUGUAUGUGGAUUUAUUCCAUUGAAGUUAUAGAAUUUAUUUACUAUCUGUACUCUUGUUAAUGCUUUAAUUACCAUAAUGGAAAAAAUCCAGCCCUGCUGGUUUUUUCUUUCUUUCAAUCCCUUUCCAGUUUCUUUGAAGACACAGCAAAAGAUAACAGCGAAUAUUUAGGUGACUGUGGCAACUAAUCAAUCUAAUAACUCACCACACAAUAGUUUAUCAGUUGAGUUGAUUUGCUUGUGUGUUAGACAGUUAAUGACAAGAAAUCCCUGCUAUUUACAUGAGUCUGUCAUGAUUUCACUGUGCAGCCAGACUUCCAGCAGUUUUUUGACACUCAGGACUUGUCAUCCUCCCUCCAUUCCUCAUCAGCCUCAUUACUCCCACCUGAUCUGAGCUGUUUCAUUUCCUCUGCUCCAUUUAACGUCUCUGUCAGUUUGUUAUAUAUAUAGUCAUGUCAUUUUCUACCUCUUGGUGCUAACUACAUUUCUGUCUUUGGAUUUUAUUUUACCGUACUCAGACAGAGUAUCUUGUUAGAAUUUUUGCUCCUCACCCCUUUUUUGGUGCUUCUGGCUUCCCAUCCAUCAGUUACGCUCAGGGCAUUCAUCUGUGUCCUCAUGUUGCUCACUCUCAACCCUUUCAAGUUGCCAGUGCGUAUGAAGUCUUCUGCAUGUCACUGAUGCCCCUGCUGUCUCUCAAAAUAUGGUCAACGAUCUGCAAAGAGACAUAACAAAUAGGGUAAUUUUUGUGGAUCUUAACAAUAUUCUUUUUUUUUUCACGUUACGCAGCAGAGGAUGUCCAGCACAUGAGGACAGUUUUACACUGUUUACAUCAAAACUGACUGUCAAGGCGGAAAAAGGUAAAUAUUAUGUCAACUCUUGUCUCUUAUCUUGACUUUAAUAGACAAGUCCAGAUGGACCCCUGCAAGGUGCAAGCAGCUCCAUCAUGACCCACCCAUAGGGAACCAUGAGUUUGCCCAUUUUUUGCCUGCAGAAAGCCUGCAGACUGUGAGGACCUCGACUGUCUCAACUAUGGAUUCAUCCUUCUUUAGCUACCAUCCGGACAGACCAGGAAAAUUAAGUACAACAAAGCCUGCCUCCAUUCCUCCUGAAGCCCAGAUUCCUGAAGCACCAUCUUGUCCUCUCUUGUAUUUGUUAUCUACAUUCAUCUUCCUGCUGGAUCUCAGCAUCCCUAUUCUGUAAUCAUGGACCAAGUCCUGGAUACACAAGAAGGAAACAGAUGCAAAAUAUCAGCUGUUCUGUCUUGUCAUUUACAAUUUAACCUCCAUUGUCUACCUAAGAGUUUCUUCUGCGUGCAGUAAAUCCCAAAUCCAGCAUUUGCUCCUGGAUAGAAGGUUUCUCCUCAUUUUUUUAUUCCAGUGUUUUAUUAAAAUCCUGCAUCUUUCCGUGCUGAGGGGCAGUUGCUCUGCUUGCUUGCAUGUCAACAUCUACACCUCUGUUCAAUACAUCUAUUUUACGUCUCUGAAGGUUGUCCAUUUCUCUCAACAAUGUCAGCAUUUAGGAUUAAUGUCAUGUAUUUCUUCUGUAAACUUUUUUGGGGGCAUGUAUAAUAAACGCUCACAACAGAGAGGCUUCACUUUUAAUGUACCCAUUUUUCAUCCUCUGUUCGUUUUUCCCCAUCUCAUAUUAUCUUCCUCUCCUUUUCUUCUCUCUGGGCCCUUCCCCAUCCAGUGUGUUUUGUUCACUCCCUGGAGUUUGUUUUAGGUAACCGUCAUUGCCUCACAGCACUUAUCCCACACCACAAACCACAAGUAAUAGUUGAUUUAAGAUGUUAUCUGGCUGAACUUAGACUGGUGUGUUACGGCAGCAAGACUGCCGGCUGCAAGUAUGUUUUUCUCUGAUGUGGAAGCGUGUGUAUUUAUGUGUCAACAGCCGCAGAACUGAAUUCCCAAAUUAGUCUGUGGUUCGUCUGAGCUUCGGAAAAUAGCUUUGUGCAGCAGCCGAAAGAUGUGGUGGAAUUGUGAAGAUUAUGUCUCUGUGUGCUUGUGCACAUACCGGCCUGUUAUAUUAACCUAAUCCACAAUCUUAUAAAGUUGGACACGGAGAAACACUGAGGGGAGCAGUGAGCUCAUAUGGUGCUGUAGGGCAAUUUUCCUGUAUCAAAUACACAUCCAAGUACUCACACAUAAAUUUAAUGCUCCACCUGAGCUUCAUAUUUUUUUAUCUUAAAUGUAAAGCGACUUUA